rnacentral:tRNA from 1 species
GCGGGUGUAGCUCAGUUGGUUAGAGUGCCGGCCUGUCACGCCGGAGGUCGCGGGUUCGGUUAGAGUGCCGGCCUGUCACGCCGGAGGUCGCGGGUUCGAGCCCCGUCACUCGCGCCA